rnacentral:rRNA from 1 species
GUUUGAUCCUGGCUCAGAACGAACGCUGGCGGCGUGCCUAACACAUGCAAGUCGAGCGAGAAAGGGGAGCAAUCCCUGAGUACAGCGGCGCACGGGUGCGUAACACGUGGGUAAUCUUCCUCUAGGUCCGGAAUAACCCUUCGAAAGGAGGGCUAAUACCGAAUAAGCCCACGAUCUCUUUGGAGAUUGAGGGAAAAGGUGGCCUCUGCAUGCAAGCUAUCACCUGGAGAUGAGCCCGCGGCCCAUCAUGCUAGUUGGCGGGGUAACGGCCCACCAAGGCGACGACUGGUAGCUGGUCUGAGAGGACGAUCGGCCACACUGGAACUGAGACACGGUCCAGACUCCUACGGGAGGCAGCAGUGGGGAAUCUUGCGCAAUGGGCGAAAGCCUGACGCAGCAACGCCGCGUGAGUGAUGAAGGCCUUCGGGUCGUAAAGCUCUUUCAGAAGGGACGAAACCGGUUCGGGAUAAUAAACCGAGCCCUUGACGGUACCUUAAGAAGAAGCACCGGCUAACUCUGUGCCAGCAGCCGCGGUAAUACAGAGGGUGCAAGCGUUGUUCGGAAUUAUUGGGCGUAAAGCGCGUGUAGGCGGCAAGGCAUGUCGGGUGUGAAAGCCCUCGGCUUAACCGAGGAAGUGCGCCCGAAACUAUCUUGCUUGAGUAUCGGAGAGGAUGGCGGAACUCCCGGUGUAGAGGUGAAAUUCGUAGAUAUCGGGAAGAACACCAGUGGCGAAGGCGGCCAUCUGGACGAAUACUGACGCUGAGACGCGAAAGCGUGGGGAGCAAACAGGAUUAGAUACCCUGGUAGUCCACGCCGUAAACGAUGGGCACUAGAUGUCGUGGGUGUUG